UACAGAGGGUGCGAGCGUUGUCCGGAAUCACUGGGCGUAAAGGGCGCGUAGGUGGCGCGACAAGUCAGUGGUGAAAGUUCGACGCUCAACGUCGAAUCGGCCACUGAUACUGUUGGGCUUGAGCACUGUAGAGGCUAAUGGAAUUCCGGGUGUAGCGGUGGAAUGCGUAGAGAUCCGGAAGAACACCGGUGGCGAAGGCGGUUAGCUGGGCAGUUGCUGACACUGAGGCGCGACAGCGUGGGGAG
rnacentral:rRNA from 1 species